rnacentral:rRNA from 1 species
GAUGAACGCUGGCGGCGUGCCUAAUACAUGCAAGUCGAGCGAACGGACGAGAAGCUUGCUUCUCUGAUGUUAGCGGCGGACGGGUGAGUAACACGUGGAUAACCUACCUAUAAGACUGGGAUAAAUUCGGGAAACCGGAGCUAAUACCGGAUAAUAUUUUGAACCGCAUGGUUCAAAAGUGAAAGACGGUCUUGCUGUCACUUAUAGAUGGAUCCGCGCUGCAUUAGCUAGUUGGUAAGGUAACGGCUUACCAAGGCAACGAUGCAUAGCCGACCUGAGAGGGUGAUCGGCCACACUGAAACUGAGACACGGUCCAGACUCCUACGGGAGGCAGCAGUAGGGAAUCUUCCGCAAUGGGCGAAAUCCUGACGGAGCAACGCCGCGUGAGUGAUGAAGGUCUUCGGAUCGUAAAACUCUGUUAUUAGGGAAGAACAUAUGUGUAAGUAACUGUGCACAUCUUGACGGUACCUAAUCAGAAAGCCACGGCUAACUACGUG